ACUGAUCUUGACAAUUGUGGCAUGUAUACACUAUGUAUACCAAUGAGCAUGACUAUGUUCUAAUACAUUUUUAUUUACAAAAUCAGGCAGCAGGACAGAUUUAGUACAACAGCUAAAAGUUUGCUUCUUUAUUCUAGCCAGACCGAAUAGCCAGGAGAGAAAGACAUAUCACAACUAUCAAAAUUAGGGAUGAAAAAUGUACAUAACUACAGAUUGCAUAGACUCCAUGAUCAGCCAGCUAUCCCAGCAGGCCAGGAUGCAGAAACCAUGUGCCUUCAAUGUUGAUAUACAUUUACUGAGUAACUAAUUUAUGCUUAUGGGCAAAACAAAGAUCCCUGCUCUCCUGGAACUUUGCUUUUACUCAGGGAGACAGAAUAAACAAUAUACAUAAUGCAUUUGUAGAUUACCUUAUAUUUCAUUCAGAAGUUGGUAAGAACUGUGAAGAAAAAUGAAAGUAGGACCAGGAAAGGAGAGUGGGAGUUUCAAAUGGGGUGAGGUCCAGGAAGAUCUCAUUGAGGAAGGAGCAUUUGAGCCAAGACCUGAAGGUGGUGAUGGAGCAGCCCAAGGGGGAAAAUGUCCCAAGCAGAGGGAACAGACAAAGCAUAGGACCUGAGGCAGAACAAAGGCCCCAGUGGUUGGAGCAUAGUGAAUAAGUGGGAGAAACGUGGGGAAAGACAUCAGAGUUGUACUGGGGAAGCCAAAGUUAUAGGGCCUUGUGGUCUAUGGGGCAGGAAGAUCAGCAGGAGAGGGUUGCCAACAUUGGAGGGAUGAGCCCCACGAAUAAAAGAAAAAAGAUCAUAAAAAAAAUUAAAGCCAGUAAUAGUGGGCUUGGCAGAGCUACAGUGCGGGUCACUCCAAGAACCAGUCCCUUGAGUCACAGGAUCAGGGGAGAGCUAGUGAGAUUUCUCCUGUCUCCUGCACAAGGACAUGCCCCUGAGAGUCUAAGCACACCUACCCGUCCAUUCUCCAUCUCCUGACAGGCCAUCAGGAUGACCUAGACAUGGGGUAAGGGAGGAGAAUCAGUUUAGGGGGUGCAGUUACCAGGGCCAGGGGAGGACCCAGAAUACUGGCCACACCUCCCCCUCCCCCAAAGCUGACCUUGACCCCAAAUUCCCAGAUGAGGCGCCAGAAGUCCAGCAAGGUGUGAGGCAGGGGUCCUUGCGUGGCGAUGUAGGCCUGGCUUCCGUCUGUGCCCUGGUAAAGGCUAAGUUCACUAUCGAGGCUCUGCUGUCACCUCCACCGCCUCUGCCCCUUUCCUGACUCCCAGCCUGACCCUGAUGAAGUUGCCAUUGAUGUAGUCGCCAUGUCCCUCUUCCUGAAGCAGCGAAAGGAUCACUCGUGUCUGAUCGUCUGCCAGCAGGAGGCAGCUGAGCGGGCCCGGAUGUCCUGGUGGGAAGACCGCAAGAAGACCCGGGGUAGGAAGAGAGUGAGAGGAGCCAGAUCAGAGUCCUGGGACACUGAGGCUCUCACAGGGAUAUGCGGCACGUGGCCGAUCGAAGGUCAGUUUCGUCACAUCUCACCCUAAGAGAAACAGAGGCCAGAGAGACCGGAUAAAGCGCCUCCGGCCACAUCGUCUGUAAGAACUUAUACUCCAUAUCCUCACCGCAGCGGGGCCUCUUGCCUCUUGGUUCCUCUUUUCCCAGCCCCUUCCUCCCCAGGACCACAGUAGUGGCAGUGACCCCCGGGUCGUCUGGAGCGGCCGGGCACCGCGUGAGCGCCCGCCUUCUGCGCUCAGCCACCGAUGAUACCGGGAGCGCAGCUAGGGCGCAGGGACCCGAGGGCGUGUGCGGCUCCGCCCGGGACGGCCGUGGACUUCGCCCUCUGGGACUCUGCAGGCAGAAGGUGAAGACAGGCAGGGAGAGAGUGCGACAGAGAGAGGUGCUGGGGAGAGAAAAACUGAGAGAUCUCGAAGUGAGAAGACGACCCUGGACGCCGAGAGAGAAGCAAAGUGCAGCAGGGUGCACAGAAGAACAGGCAGAGGUCCGGACUGUCCAGGGCGAGGAGCAGGAGCUCGGCAGUCCACACUCGCCCACUCACGCUGAACUCGCCGGCGAAGACCACCCCAUCCCUGCCGCCCAGUGCCUCCAGCUGCUCCAAGAAGCUCCGCGCAGCAUCCAAACUGCGGCUCAUGGCGCCGCCUGGGAGUGAGGUGCAGUCCACCUGUGGCGCUCCGCGCACUCUGCUGGGGUAGACUCCGCUGAAGGCAGCCGAGGCCCCGCCUCAGAUCCCGCCAGCCAAUGGGAGUGCGCAGCGGCAGACGGGGCGCGCCCCUCGGCCAAUGACACUCAGGGCGCGCCCCAGCCCCGCCCACAGGCUCCCGGACUUGGGGCGCGGGGCUCUUCUGGCUGCGCGUGGGGUGAAAAACUGCUCCGGCGCUACCAUUAUUUUGUCUCCGCGGGCUGACUGAGUCCCUAUGGUCAUAUGGACAUCUCCUCUAGCUUGGGCCCGAGGUCCACGCCCUAGCAGGCCGAAUGGCUGCACCCUCGCCCGGCCUCCAGGGCCCGGUCUUCUGGGAGCUCGACUGUGUCCGGAUCCCAACCAGGGUGGCGUGUCAGCUGUGAGUAAAGACGGCUGCCUAGAUCGAGCUAAAAUUCCUAACCGGGAAACCCUGUAUGGAGACCUUACCCCGCUCUGCGCUUGGGCGGAGUCCAAGGGAGGUUGGAAGAGGUUGGGAGAGGUAGCCGCGGGGGGAAAUGACACCAGGGCACCUGAGCUGUGGGAAAGACAGAAUUUCUUGAGGUUCCUUCUUUUUCUGGGUCGGGCCAGGAGGAGCUGAGGGAGCCAGGAUCAUCCUAAUUUGAGCAUCUCAAGCCGUAUAAAACUUCCAGGAAACAAAACUGAGGUUUUGGGAGUGGGUUCCAGGGGUCUAGAUGUUCUCAACGCUUUUUAAGGAUUUUUUUUUUUUUAAUCCUCAUACUGUCGUCUUCAGAAAAUGGGGAGAAGGCCAGAGGACAGCUGCUGCCCUAGGGCCACCAAGGGGAAGGCUGAAGAGUAGGGAGGAGCCAGGGGCCCCUGCCAAGGGCCGGUCAGUGUAGAUGGGCUAGCCCAUCCUUCACUUUGGAGGUAAGGAGUGUGAACCUAAUUCAUUGGGCUGUUAUCAGAAUGUUGUCACAGACAGGCAAACUGUUUCUUAAAGGACUCGGGUCUCUGGUUCUUAUCCCAGCCACUCAACUUCGACAGGCAGGGCGAAAGCAACCAUAGGCCAUAUGUAAAGGGAUGAGCAUGACUAUAUUCCAAACUUUAUUUGUGGACUUUAAAUUUUAAUUUCAUGUGUCACAGUUUUGUUUCUUUGGUGGGCUGCAGAUUGUAGGUUGCCAAUCCCGGUUUAAGUGACUAAGAAGGCAAAAAGCAGGUCAGUAGGGAUGUUUCACUUAUUGAGGGAUCAAGUCGCUGUUGACUCAGUCAUCUUUGAAAGUUCAAAGGUCAGUAGUGACCACUGAGGAUGGACGUUGUCAGUGAGUUCAUUGCAGGCCAGUGAGAGUUCCUUGGAUGUUCAUGGAGACUGUCAGUAGAUAUCAGUGACAGUUACUGGGAGGUCAGUGAGAGAUUGAAAAUAACCGGGGAGCCAUUGGGACUUGGAAUGUUAGUUUACUAAGUAAUUGAGGGGUCAAAAGAGUCAAGGAAGUUCAUUGUGGACCCCUAACCAGGGCUCUAUAGUGAAUGUCAGUGUAAUCAUAGAGAAAUCUUGGAUGGUCUCAGGACUCAGUUGUUGGACUCAGGCUGGUGAGGUAAAGAAGCAUCAGUGAACUUUUGAGAAAAUAUGGAGGUCCACUGGAGGAGUCACAGAGGUCCUUGAGCCCCUGAGUAAUCAUGGACACUAAGGGCAAUCAUUUGGGGAUAGUGGACACCAGAGUAAAGGGGGAGCAUCCACUGUGGAUCACAAAAGGGCUUUCUGAACCCUGCUAGUAGUGAAUGUCAUUGGAUGUCAACGGUCACUGGAAACUGGCAACCUGGAGAGCAGAGGCAACACUGAGGGUCAGCGAGCCCUGCGUAUCUGUGGUGGUGACUGGGAGGCAGGGCAGCUAAUGCAGCAAAUGGGUUCUGGCUAGUUGGGGGAAUCUCUGUUCCACUAGGGGCUGGGGGUGUGUUUGUCCAACAGUAUGGGGUAUCUCUGUCUAUCUGUCCCCCUGGUUUAGGGGACAUCUGUCUAUCCUUAGCACCUUUCUGAUAGGCUGGGGUCUUUCUUACUGGCAGAGUUAAGACUGUCAAGCUGAAGGUCUGGCUGGAGAGUUGACUGGGUAGGAGGAUGUCUUUCCACUGACUGUCUCUCUGUCCAGUUGUGGUGCUUUGUCUAUUCUUGAGGGAUUCUAUCUUUCGGUUGGCAGAUUAAGUCUCUCAGUUGGCAGGUGGGAGGGGUGUCUGUGUGUCUGAACACAGGUCUCUCUGGAUGCCUGGCUGGUCAUCUUCCCACCUCUCUUAAGAAUCUGUCCAUUUGUUUGGCUAUCCUGCUAUGUAAUCUGUCUCUGCCUGGGAUUUUAUCUAGAACUCUGUCUUACCAGGGGUUUGUGUGUCUGUCUGCCUGUUUGGGGAUCUAUCUGCCUAUCUGGCCUGUGAACAGAGUGGCUGAGACUUCAGUCCACCUGCCAUGCUUCCACCAUGGUUCACUGUUUCUGGCUGCACAUUCACCCACAACUGCAUACCCUCUUCCCUGCCCCACUCUUAUGUCCUCCUCUUGUUAAGCAGACUGCCAUCCUGACACUGGCCAUCCCUCCAUGUCUCUUCAACAUCCAGAUUCUCCUGGCUUGCCCUCCACUCAGCUCAGGCGUGGGGGGUGGGAAGACCACCAAGACCUCCUCCAGCAGCCCCAGCUCACCCCUCUCCAUUCUCCCAGAGAACUGCAAGCUGUGUUCUUGCAAUGGGACUCACUGCUGCUGCUGGCCUUCUUGCACAUACUCCUGGUGGCCAGCAGUGGGCGCAGCUGACACUGUCCUGCAGGUCCUGGGCACUCCCACCCACAUGCUAGUCUGCCGCCUGCUUGCCAGCUCAGAGGCCAGCAACAGAGCCGAGUGGACAGGGUGCUAGAAGGUGCUCAGGGAAGUUUUCACAAUACUGUGCAGAGCCCAGCCUAGGCUGUUACAAAGGGGAAAUCGUAACUUUUAAACAGGAGACAUCACCUUCACCUAGAAAGCUUGUGAGGAGACAGUCUGAGACUACUGAAAUCCCCACUGAAAAGUUCUUCUCUGACUUCCUUUUUUAACUAGGCCACAAGAGGGAAGAAGAAAUUUGAAAAAAUUCUCCCACUGCUGUACUCUGUUAAGAACCUUUGGUUGGGUGGGCUUACCUAUUGGCCCAGUUGGCAAACAGAAAAAUGCCACUCACUCCAGUUAUAAAUGGCAGUUUGCAUUCACCAGUGACUGGCGGUAACUGCCUUUGGGAGGGCUUUUAUUCCAGACUCUGGAAACUCUACAAGACAAACCAAUUUCCUAAAUGAAUAAAUUACAAAGAAAAAAGUUUAAGAGAACACAAAUGCUCAUAGCAGCAUUAUUCAAAACAGUCCCAAAGUGAGAAACCAACUUUCAUAAACUGAUGGAUAAAGAAAAUAUGGUGUACACUGUUAGGGUCCACAGGGGGCUCAUGGCAUAUUGUUAAAAAAAAAUAGCCCAUUGUGGUGACUUGACAAACGAGAUGAAGUCACAGUGACCACAACGCCCUGGUGGCAUGCUGUUUUUUUUUCCCUGCUGGUGCCAGUGUCUCAAGACUACAUGACCACCAGUCUCUGUGGGGUCUCUGGUCCUGGUGCACACAAGGUUUAUUUGAGCCCUCUGAGCAUCUCUGGUGAGAAUGGGGUUUGAUUCUAAACAUGAUUUUGCCCUCCUACCAUUUUACUGGGGCUUCUCUGCCCUUGGACGUGGGUUAUCUCCUCACAGCCGCUCCAGCACCUACUGUCUUGCUGGGGCUUCUCCGACCUUAGACAUGGGGUGAGUGUCUGUCUUUGAGUGUCUCCAGUGGAGGUACAGGUCAGCAGUGGACUGCUGCAGGGGCAGGGCUCUGGGUGCAGCAGACUUGGGUAUGGCAUAAGCCCUCUUGGAGGAGGUGGCCAUUAACCCCACCAUACAGCUGCCAGA